rnacentral:rRNA from 1 species
UACAGAGGUCCCGAGCGUUGUUCGGAUUUACUGGGCGUAAAGGGUGCGUAGGCGGUGGGGUAAGUUUGAGGUGAAAGCUCCGGGCUCAACCCGGAAAAUGCCUUGAAAACUAUCCCGCUAGAGGGUUGGAGGGGAGACUGGAAUUCUCGGUGUAGCAGUGAAAUGCGCAGAUAUCAGGAGGAACACCGAUGGCGAAGGCAGGUCUCUGGGCAUUAACUGACGCUGAGGAGCGAAAGCAUGGGGAGCGAACAGG